CUUAGUUGAGUUGAGUUGAGUUAUUUCAAUUCAUUCCUAAGCUCUCCAAGGUGUCAAAGGAGUCAUUGAAAUCCAAAGAAGAUCUACAAAAAAGGUAAUUCUGAUCGGGCACCUUCACAUACUUCAAUUUUGUAUUUUCACAUGUUAUUAUUUUUCUCAAUUUUGAGCUUGUAGAUGAUCUCCUUUGCUUGUUUUUCUUGUUUUAUUUGAUUUGUUGUGUUGUUUACCUAUGAAGUAGCCUUUUGGAUCACUUAAAAAGCUACUUCUUACAAUUUUUAAUGAUUUUUCAAAGCUCUAGAUUUGUUCGAACUUGAUCUGGUCAUAUACCUGAUUUUGUAAAAUAUGUUUCUCUCUCAAAUCUUUGUUGUUUUAAUUCAUUCUUUUUUCUGGUGUUAGUCCUUUAUGUCUAGUUUAUUAUCAUAUUUUUCUUUUUGCAUAAUUCCUUACAGAUAAUUAGAAAUAAUUUUUUUUAAGUUUGCUACUCAAAUCUGUCUAUUUUACGGUAGCGGUAGAAGAUUUUAAUUUUCUGUAUUAAUUGAUACACGAGUUUAAGUGUUUCUUUUUUCUAUGUUUUAAUUCAGUGCCUUAGCUAACUCGUGGUAAAAAUUUAGGAAAUUUUAUGCAUGUUUGUUAUUUUUAGUAUUUUUUUUAUCUAUUGUCCAAAAUUGCACUUUCAGCAUUAAGUCAAGUUUUGCUAAUUUCUAUUGAUAAAAUAUGUGCACAUUUUUUGCCAUCUAAUUUUUUUUUUUAUAUAUAUGUUUUAGAUCAAUGUCUUAGGCAUUCCUGGAAAUUAUGGGAUGACCUUUUAUGGUGAUUUAGGUCAUGUGCAAAAUUUAUUUUGUUUAUUACUUUAAUCUGUUAUUUUUAGCAAUAAUUGUGUUUAAUGUAAAUUAGUUUUCUUUUGUUAUUUAAUUAUAUUCUAACAUGUUUUCUUGUGUUUUGCAUGAGUUUGGAGACCAAAGGGAAGUAGGAUUAAGAUGUAAAACUUAGAAUUUGGAAAAAGGGUGACAUGGUGCGCAAAUCAAUAUCAGACCCAAAGACUUGUUUUCCUAUUUUCACAAGGACUACAAGCUUUAGAUGGAUUCUUUAUUUUUUUAGAUAAAUUUUAUUUAUAUUUUCUAAUUUAUUUAGGAUUCAAAAAUAUUAUUCCUAUUCAAUUUAUGUCUUUAGAUAUGUUUCACAUUUAAAUUAGGACCCUUUAAUUCAUUCCUACUUAGAUUAGGAUUUAGAAUUCUAUAAAUACCCAUUGUAUUUUCAUUAUGUAUAUAUUUUCAAAUUUAUUUUAAUGAAAUUUUCUUCUUCAUAAAGUUAUAUUUAUUGCACUUUAUUCUUAGAUUCUAUAUUGAAUCUUAUUUAUUUAAGAUCUUAGAUUAGAUCUUAUUUAGUUUCAAGGGUUUGAUCGUGUGUCAAUCAUUUUCUACGCUACACGCUGCAUUAGGUAGUAUCAGAGCAGGGAUUUCACCGUCAUUACGAUGCAAUACAGGUGGUGGUGGUGGUGGUGGU
rnacentral:misc_RNA from 1 species